rnacentral:rRNA from 1 species
UACGAAGGGGGCUAGCGUUGUUCGGAAUCACUGGGAGUAAAGCGCACGCAGGCGGAUCGAUAAGUCGGGGGUGAAAGCCCGGGGCUCAACCUCGGAAUUGCCUUCGAUACUGUCGGUCUCGAGUCCGGGAGAGGUGAGUGGAAUUCCUAGUGUAGAGGUGAAAUUCGUAGAUAUUAGGAAGAACACCAGUGGCGAAAGCGGUUCACUGGCCCGGUACUGACGCUCAGGUGCGAAAGCGCGGGGAGCGAACAGG